AAUGAACGCUGGCGGCAUGCCUAAUACAUGCAAGUCGAACGAGACCUUGGGAUCUAGUGGCGCCCGGGUGUAUCACGCGAGGGAAGCUGCACUUAUGUUUGGACUAACUCCAAGACAGGGGUACCAAUACCGGACAAUGUCUACGGACCAAAGAUUUAUCGAACUUGUAUGUGCACGCGUUGGAUUCGCUAGUUGGUAGGGUAAAAGCCUAAUACGGCGACAAUCCAUAGCUGGUCUGAGAGACUGAUCAGCCACACUGGGACUGAGACACGGCCCAGACUCCUACGCGAAGCAGCAGUGGGUAAUAGUGGAACGUGGGGGAAGUCCUGAUCCAGCAAUGCCGCGUGAGCGAUGAAGUCCGUAGGGUUGUAAAGUUCUUUUACCCGUGAUGAUAAUGACAGUACCGAGAGAAUAAGCUCCGGCUAACUCCGUG
rnacentral:rRNA from 1 species